rnacentral:rRNA from 1 species
UAGUCCACGCCGUAAACGAUGUCUACUAGCUGUUUGUGAUCUUGUAUCGUGAGUAGCGCAGCUAACGCACUAAGUAGACCGCCUGGGGAGUACGGCCGCAAGGUUAAAACUCAAAUGAAUUGACGGGGGCCCGCACAAGCGGUGGAGCAUGUGGUUUAAUUCGAUGCAACGCGAAGAACCUUACCAUCCCUUGACAUCCAGAGAAUCACCAAGAGAUUGAUGAGUGCCUUCGGGAACUCUGAGACAGGUGCUGCAUGGCUGUCGUCAGCUCGUGUUGUGAAAUGUUGGGUUAAGUCCCGCAACGAGCGCAACCCUUAUCCUUAGUUGCCAGCGCGUGAUGGCGGGAACUCUAAGGAGACUGCCGGUGACAAACCGGAGGAAGGUAAGGAUGACGUCAAGUCAGCAUGCCCCUUAUGCUCUGGGCUACACACGUGCUACAAUGGCCGUGACAAAGAGUUGCUACUUUGUGAAAACAAGCUAAUCUCAUAAACG